UACAGCCAUAUCACUUUGAAACACCGGUUCUUGUCCGAUCACCAAAGUUAAGCAACGUCGAGCUUGGUAAGUACCUAGAUGGUUGACCGCUUGGGAAUAC